rnacentral:rRNA from 1 species
GAACGGGUGAGUAACACGUGGGUGAUCUGCCCUGCACUUUGGGAUAAGCCUGGGAAACUGGGUCUAAUACCGAAUAUGACCAUGCGCCUCCUGGUGUGUGGUGGAAAGCUUUUGCGGUGUGGGAUGGGCCCGCGGCCUAUCAGCUUGUUGGUGGGGUAAUGGCCUACCAAGGCGACGACGGGUAGCCGGCCUGAGAGGGUGACCGGCCACACUGGGACUGAGAUACGGCCCAGACUCCUACGGGAGGCAGCAGUGGGGAAUAUUGCACAAUGGGCGCAAGCCUGAUGCAGCGACGCCGCGUGAGGGAUGACGGCCUUCGGGUUGUAAACCUCUUUCAGCACAGACGAAGCGCAAGUGACGGUAUGUGCAGAAGAAGGACCGGCCAACUACGUGCCAGCAGCCGCGGUAAUACGUAGGGUCCGAGCGUUGUCCGGAAUUACUGGGCGUAAAGAGCUCGUAGGUGGUUUGUCGCGUUGUUCGUGAAAACUCACAGCUUAACUGUGGGCGUGCGGGCGAUACGGGCAGACUUGAGUACUGCAGGGGAGACUGGAAUUCCUGGUGUAGCGGUGGAAUGCGCAGAUAUCAGGAGGAACACCGGUGGCGAAGGCGGGUCUCUGGGCAGUAACUGACGCUGAGGAGCGAAAGCGUGGGGAGCGAACAGGAUUAGAUACCCUGGUAGUCCACGCCGUAAACGGUGGGUACUAGGUGUGGGUUUCCUUCCUUGGGAUCCGUGCCGUAGCUAACGCAUUAAGUACCCCGCCUGGNGAGUACGGCCGCAAGGCUAAAACUCAAAGAAAUUGACG